AUAACUUCCCGGCCUCUGGGCUAAGAUCAUCUGUAGUCUCUGUUUGUAUCAGUUUAAUAUUAGAUAGUUUAAUAUUAGAUGGGCGGGUUGCUGGUUCACACGAUAUUAAAUUAACUCUUUCUGGGGAUGGGCCCAUAACAGUAGCUAGCUACUAGCCCAUGCAUGGCACGCCCCGCCCACCGUAGUUCAA